GUGAAAGCAGUGUACCGCCAUCUUUUUUGUGGGCAAAGAGUCCUUCGAGGUUUAUGUUUCCAAAGUAGGCUUCUCAGGAAGCCCAUAGAGAGACGUUCGAAAGAGAAUGGGCUCCUUGCACACUGAAAUACUGAGCCGAAUGGUUGGGGGUCGAAGUGGCAACCCAUGAAACCGAGAAUAAACGAGAGGCCUGCCCUGAGUAAAGUUGCAAAAGUUUCAGUCCAUGGACACUUGCUGCUGGAAGACAUGGGAGAGAGAGUCAAGCUACAGCAGAUACUGAGGCCAGUCGCUGUCAGAUGCCAUAGUGGCAUGGAAGCCAUGUAUAUUCAGAAAAAAGGCGCUUUGUGUUUGGAAUCUGAAUCUUCCCCCAGCCCAGUGGUAGGGAUUGAUUCAUCUCAGAAUUACAGAAGACCUAAAGCCAAGAAUCACCAGGAACACAGAGAGGCCAAAUCUCCCGUGGUUUCCUAAGCCUGGCCAAUGG
rnacentral:lncRNA from 1 species